GAGAAAAAUUUAAAGAAACCAAAUUUGGGGUACUUCCUGAUAUUUCCCUCAUUUCUCUUUACCCACAAUUGCUAUUUAACCUGAUUUCAGUUUUGUCUCCCAGUCCUGAAUCGAGUUCGUUCCUGGACACCUUCCUGGUUGUUCUGAAUUUGUAUAAUACUUGGUACUUCAGGUUUUCAAAUAGGUAAUAGCUAAUGGUCCUGAAGGGGGGGCUCUGCAUCGCACACCCCUUUCAGACAAAUGGAACCCAGACGACAGUGGUUGUGUUCUGUUCUAAGUACGUGUUGGGCUGGGGGUGUGGGGUGGAAAUCCUAUAAAAUUGGAUUGUGAUGAUCGUUGUACAACUAUAAAAUAAUAAAUUCAUUGAGUAAUAAAAAAAAAUAAGUAUGUGUUGGGGAGCCUCAGAGGUCCUAGAGAUGUGCAAAGUUCAGACUGAUUUUGUAGUAGAACUAAUAAGUUAUUUACCUUCGACUAUCUCAGUCUCUCAUGAACGUCCAGAGGAGUUUUCGAGAGGCUACAUGCCCUGUGAUAUUGUAACAGAUUACACAGAGCAGCAGAUAUGAGAAUCUAGCUUUUUUUUUUUUAAAGCCAGACCUUUAGGUGAUUUGUAAAAUUGUAAAACAGUGCCACCUUUUUCAAUAAAUUUGUUUGGGGUUUGGAAAGCAUAGCUUUUUUUUUUUUUUUUAAAGUUAUUUAAAUUAUCAUGCUUUAUGACGGUUAUUCUAAGUGAUAAUAAAUAUUUUAAAAAUUAUUGGUUUUAAUUUUCAAUGCAAUGAAUGUACGUGGAUGUUUCUGGAAGAACGUGUGUGGUUUAAACGAGUUUCUAGUGUUCUAAGGGACAGUAACUUUGAGAACUUUGCCUGUGUUUCUCCCUCCGAGAGAAUACACAUUUUAUGGUUCCUCAUUUCUGAAAGAAAACUAAAAACACCAAGUUUGUCUCAAUGCCCCAGUUUCUAACAACUAUUUCUUUACUCCUUUCAGCAAAUGAGAAGGAAGAGAAAAAGCAUAACUGAAAACUGAGAGUAUUUAUGUCUUGGACAUAGCCAGAGCCCAGAUUGGGACUUGAACACAUGGUUUUUAAGUUGGUAUCACUCAUGGAGUUCCUGUCGUGGCUCAGUGGUUAAUGAAACCAACUAUCAUCCAUGAGGACAGGGGUUCAAUCCCUGGCCUCGCUCCAUGGGUUAAGGAUCUGGCAUUGCCUUAGCUGUGGUGUAGGUCGCAGAUGCAGCUCAGAUCCUGUGUUGCUGUGGCUGUGGUGUAGGCUGGCGGCUACAGCUCUGAUUCGACUCCUAGCCUGGGAACCUCCAUAUGCCGCCGGUGUGGCUGUAAAAGACAAAAAAAAAAAAACAAAAAACAAAAAACAAAACCAAUAAAACAAAAAACCAAAACAAAAAACCCAAAAAACCAAAAACUUUAAAUUGGUAUCACUCAUCUGAUGCUUGGACUUACUAAGGUUCAGAUUCUUUGUGCCUCGGUGCAGAAGGAAUUCAGCAAGAGACAAAAUGAUAGGCAAAAAAAUAGAUUUAUUUAGAUAAGACACUUGUGAGAGAUGCAAGCAGGCAGGCAAGGAGGGUCUGGCCGAGGAUUAGGUGGCUACAUUUUUAUCAUCUGAGGGGAGUGAGGAUGAGAAAAGGCUGCUUCUUCCUCUUUCUUGGAGUUGUAGCCCCUCCUUGGUACCUGCUAAGAGAGUAUUUGACCCUAUAAGGUCAAACUGGGACGGUCAGGGUGCCUAUUCAAAUCAGCAGAAGGGCGGUCCUUAAACUCCUGCCCUUGGUCUGAACCUGAAUGCAGGCCUCACCCCACCCCCCACCCAAUGACCUGAGGCAUAUCUCGCUCUUCCAUAUCUUGCUUAGCUCUUCCGCUAAUCAAGCAAGCCUGCCUCCUCCUAAUGGGCCUCUCCAGCAAUUAUUAACUUACUGUGACCUCCCAAACUAGGUUUCCCUCUCUAGGUCUCUCACUGGGACUUCUGCAGCUACCUGUGUAACUAUCCUCCGUCCCUGUCACAACCACACUGACCCUAUAGCCCGAGAUUUGUAUCCUCUUUCAAGCAGGCGUGCCCCAGGGGACACCCCAAUUCAUUCUUUCUUACUCUUUAAACCAAUAGCUCUAUAUUAAAAUAGAAUAUGAAAUUGUUAAGUGAAAGCAAAUUCUCCAAGCAUGUAGAUUCUUCACACUGUAGCUUUAAAAGCACUGGAACACUAUAAACUUUUCCAGCAGAAUGGAGCCCUUUUAAAACACAGAUAGAGCACCGAUUGCUGACAGAAUAAAGCCUAACCUCCUUGGCAUGGCAUUGGACUUCCUUCCUCUAUGAUCUGGGUCUGUCCUACCUUUCCUCUUGUCUAUCAUUUCUUCCCCCCAUCCAGCCUCCAACUCAGGGCACAGUUUGGUCCUGGACUACCUGCCUCUAGAUAACCUGCAUCACUUAACGCAGUCUGUGCCAAAUUUACUGACUCAGAAUAUCUAGCCAUCAUGCCGGAUAAUCUGUGUUGUACACAAGAUCCAUCCCCCGCAUUGUGAUUCCUAAUAAAUCCUAAAUGUUGAGGGCUCCUGCUCCAGCUCCAAAUGAUAACUCAGUGGUUUUCAAGAUUCAGGACAAAUGCUCCUUUCUCCAGGUAGUUUGCUUGAAUAUUCACCAAGAUGGAGUCAAUGGCCCAUUUCCUGGUGCUUCCCGCUUGAGUCUGUGAUGGCACAGAUUUCAGGCUGCUUUCCAUUCAGGUCAGUGGUUUGCAUAGUCAUCCCCCACCCCCUCCAUCCAGAUUCUCUCUCUCUUCUGCUCUGUAUUCCCAAGGCUCUCAGUUGUGUUUACGGUGCUGUGCACAUAGUAGGUCCCCAGUGAGGGCUGGCCCUGACGAACCCUGCUGCAGAGUCAUUCCUUAGAGAGGACAGUUUCUGGGGACCAGCAGCAAUAAGCAAGAAAGCACAGCAGAGGGAAUUCCGUUAUCGUUCAUGGUAGAGAAACGUCGUCAUAGGUAUACGCUUUCUCUUUCCACAACCUGCGUGUAACACCAAAGAAUUUAUAACCACCUCCCUAUAGGCUGGUCCUUUAUCCACCACUCAAAGACAUGAUGAUUUUCUAGAAGAAGUUUAACAUCUAAGGGUAGAGGUGAGGGUGUGGAGGGCAGGUGGCAGGACCCCUGAGCAGACCUGCCAGGGUCGGUGCCCUCUGUUUCUUCUGCCCUGUCUUUGUGCCAAGCCUUUCCUAUUCCCAAGGCCUAUUUAUGAGGGAGGGUGGGAGGGAGCUGUUGAGGCCCAGGGGCUUGGGCUCUACUGCACAGGGCAUGGGGGCCCAGGGACCCCCUUCCUCUGAGUGCAGGAGCAGAAGGCAGAAGCAAAAUGUGCUGGUAACAUGUGAGAUGCCUCUUAAAUGGAGAAAAGAAUGGGCGCUGUGACCUCAUUAAUAUAUAUUCGGUCUCUGCCCUUGACACAGAGCUUCAAAAACCCUUAGAAUUUCCAGGAUGAUAAGAGCAUCACUUGUUCUAAUGAGGCUACGCUUUGUGGGCCCCUGGAUAACCUCAGAAGAGGCCUGGUCACCAGAAAGACCAGCACAUUUGGGGGGCGGCUGUGUGGCUCAGGCACCUUUGGGGGGCGGCUGUGUCCACUCUGGGGUACAAAUUCAUUUCUGGGUCUGCCCUGUCUGUCAGCUUCAUGCUUCGUUGCAGGGGUGGGAGUACAGCGGUUCUGACGAGCAGAGCAGGGCCUUGGCCCCCAGAGUUGCCCUGGGAGGGUGAGGAAGGCUUGAGAAAAGAUCUGAGGCACAGGAAGGGCAGGGAAGGUGCUGGCACGGCCACUCUAAGCCAGCUAAAUUGUCAUUAGCCAAGAGAGGAGGGCGCACUCCUGCGCAGGUGCCUGGGUGCCAGGAGGGGCUGGGGAGAGAAUGAAAAGGGGGUUCCCAAAUGGGAGGGGAUUGACUGUCCUAAUGGGAGGGGUGCAAAGGGCACAGCGGAAGAGGGGGAUUCGGUGGGGUGGGGGGGUCAGUGUUUCCUCUGCCAGGACAUGGGG
rnacentral:lncRNA from 1 species